GGGGAUAGCUGAUUGGUAAAGCCCGUGCUUAGCAUGCACGAGGUCCUGGGUUCAAUUCCCGGGACCUCCA
rnacentral:tRNA from 1 species